rnacentral:tRNA from 2 species
GGGGCCAUAGCUCAGCUGGGAGAGCACCUGCCUUGCACGCAGGGGGUCGGCGGUUCGAUCCCGCCUGGCUCCACCA